CUUCAUGUUCUUGACCCAUUAUUCAACUUUGAUACUUGCGAGGCUUAAAUUACAGAUUGGUAAUGGGUUUUUUAAUGCGUCUGAUUGUGCAGUAGGGUUUUGCUUUGGGGAGGUGGCACGGACAGGCUGCGUGAUUGGCGCCUGUUUAAUUGUUAACCUUGCCACUGCUUCUGGGGAAAGGAAUUGCUUCUCUAACAUCAGGGAUUCCAGUAGCAAACAGAACCAUAAGAUCAAAUCCAAGAGUAAAACCAGAGUGCUUGACUGUGCCGUGCCGGCGAAGAUCUAAGUACCAUUCAUAUUGAUCUCUGGCCAACCCUAGUCCAUUUAUCCUUCAAACAAGUUCGGUUAACAAAAUUCAGGAAUCAGUUCUUAUUUUGCUAAGAAAUCAUGAAGAUGAUUAUGAACUUAAUGUUGAAUUGCCAUUACUCUGAGCAGUAAAUGAAGUUUAGAUGAGAUAAGUCACUGUUAAGAAUUGAAAAUCAUUGUAAACAAAAGACAAGCGCUAUGUAGAAAUCAGCAGAACUAUGUAGUUUUUACCUUUCAUUUAGCAAA